GAUGAAGAACGUAGCGAAACGCGAUACGUAAUGUGAAUUGCAGAAUUCAGUGAAUCAUCGAAUCUUUGAACGCACAUUGCGCCCGCCAGUAUUCUGGCGGGCAUGCCUGUUCGAGCGUCAUUACAACCCUCAGGCCCCCGGGCCUGGCGUUGGGGAUCGGCGGAGCCCCCCGUGGGCACACGCCGUCCCCCAAAUACAGUGGGUCCCGCCGCAGCUUCCAUCGCGUAGUAGCUAACACCUCGCGACUGGAGAGCGGCGCGGCCACGCCGUAAAACACCCAACUCUUCUGAAGUUGACCUCGAAUCAGGUAGGAAUACCCGCUGAACUUAAGCAUAUCAAUAAGCGGAGGA
rnacentral:misc_RNA from 1 species